rnacentral:rRNA from 1 species
AGCGAACGCUGGCGGCAGGCCUAACACAUGCAAGUCGAACGAAGUCUUCGGACUUAGUGGCGGACGGGUGAGUAACACGUGGGAACGUGCCUUUAGGUUCGGAAUAACUCAGGGAAACUUGUGCUAAUACCGAAUGUGCCCUUCGGGGGAAAGACUUAUCGCCUUUAGAGCGGCCCGCGUCAGAUUAGCUAGUUGGUGAGGUAAAGGCUCACCAAGGCUACGAUCAGUAGCUGGUCUGAGAGGAUGACCAGCCACAUUGGGACUGAGACACGGCCCAAACUCCUACGGGAGGCAGCAGUGGGGAAUCUUGCGCAAUGGGCGAAAGCCUGACGCAGCCAUGCCGCGUGGACGAUGAAGGUCUUAGGAUUGUAAAAUCCUUUCACCGGUGAAGAUAAUGACUGUAGCCGGAGAAGAAGCCCCGGCUAACUUCGUGCCAGCCGCCGCAGUAAAAC